rnacentral:rRNA from 1 species
GAUGAACGCUGGCGGCGUGCCUAAUACAUGCAAGUCGAGCGAAUGGAUUAAGAGCUUGCUCUUAUGAAGUUAGCGGCGGACGGGUGAGUAACACGUGGGUAACCUGCCCACAAGACUGGGAUAACUCCGGGAAACCGGGGCUAAUACCGGAUAACAUUUUGAACCGCAUGGUUCGAAAUUGAAAGGCGGCUUCGGCUGUCACUUAUGGAUGGACCCGCGUCGCAUUAGCUAGUUGGUGAGGUAACGGCUCACCAAGGCAACGAUGCGUAGCCGACCUGAGAGGGUGAUCGGCCACACUGGGACUGAGACACGGCCCAGACUCCUACGGGGGGCAGCAGUAGGGAAUCUUCCGCAAUGGACGAAAGUCUGACGGAGCAACGCCGCGUGAGUGAUGAAGGCUUUCGGGUCGUAAAACUCUGUUGUUAGGGAAGAACAAGUGCUAGUUGAAUAAGCUGGCACCAUGACGGUACCUGAAGAAUAAGCACCGGCUAACUACGUGCCAGCCGCCGCCGUAA